UUAGUAAUUUAGUAGCGCUGCGGCACUCGAAGAGGUGUAACAUCGCCUCACCGCUCACAAUUCACAGUAAAUAAAUAUCAUAAAUUAGAUUUUAAUAAUAAUAGUGAAUAAGUGUUAAUUAAGUCGUGUUGGAUAUUUGCAGUUAGUAAAACAGACACCAAACCAUGGCAACCUCAGUUCUCCAGCCCGAAGACUGCCGGCGGGAGCACGAGCCGAAGCCCGACGCGCCGCGGCUGACCGACGACGAGAGGCUGAGCAUCCUUGAGGCCAACGAGCGGGAGACCGGGGAUCUGCCCGCAGACCUGAAGGAGCGAGCCAGGGUGGAGAUACGAGAGGAACCCGCCAUACGGGACCAUGCGCUCGCACAGAUGAGACACUUCAUCGACAAACAUCCGGCCAUCAGAAAAUGCAGGACAGAUGGACCAUUCCUGCUGAGGUUCCUUCGGACCAAAAAAUACUCCGUUCCGCAAGCCUGCUCCAUGCUAGAGAGAUACCUGACCAUCCGGCAAAUGCACCCCAACUGGUUCCAGAAGUUGGAUCCCCUGGACCCGAAGAUAGCUGCCGUGAUCGACGCUGGGUACCUGGUUCCUCUGCCGAAAAGAGACUCCGAAGGCCGUCGAGUCGUGUUGUCGUGCAUGGGUCGUUUCGACCCUUACCUCUACGACAGCUCCACGAUGGCGCGGGUCCACUCCAUGAUCGUGGAGCUGCUGCUGGACGAGCCGCGGUCGCAGCUGCUGGGCUACUCGCACGUCAACGACGAGGCCGGCAUGCAGAUGCCUCACGUUAGCCUGUGGUCUCUCAACGACGUCAGAGUCAUGCUGAACUGUAUCCAGAACUCAACUCCGAUGCGGCACAAGCAAACUCAUUUUGUGAACAUCCCUCAGUAUGGCGUAAAAUUCUUCGAGUUCGCCGUAUCCCUCUUGAGUGACAAGCUGAAGGAUCGUGUGAUGUUCCAUCGAACUUCAGAGGAUCUAACUAAAUACGUGGACGCCUCUAUUCUGCCGAAGGAGUAUGGUGGCACUGUUCCCCUCAAAGAAAUGAUUGAAGAGUUGAAGCGAAAACUUCUGAAGCACAGGCAAGACCUGAUGGCAUUGGACGACAUGUGCGUCGAUCUGCACGCGCUGGAGAAGAAUGAUUUGACUCAGGACAUACACUCCACUGCAGGAUCUUUCAGAAAACUUGAGUUAGAUUAGUAGAAGAUCUGGAAGGAACUAGAAGUAUGAUUUGUCAACAAGAAUGUGAUUAUUUAUUAUAGCCUUUGUAAUGGCGAUUAUUAUUCUAAUCGCAAAUCAUCAGUGACGGGAAAAUUAUUUUCUCAGAGUCAAAGAAGGUUAU